GGUGCAAUAAUUGAUGUCAACUGACUGACCAGUUGGUGUUGUAUAUUUGCAUAUUUCUGACAUGGUUCACACCUUUGGACAAGUUUAGUUGCAUCUUUCUUCAUGAUGGGCCAAUAAUAUUCUUGUCGAAGGACUUUGUAAGCUAAAGAUUUGUCUCCCAAGUGAUUUUUAUAAAUCUCUUCGUGAACUUUUCUGAGUGUAUAGUUGGCACC
rnacentral:lncRNA from 1 species